rnacentral:rRNA from 1 species
GCGUAUAUUAAAGUUGUUGCAGUUAAAAAGCUCGUAGUUGGAUUUCGGAAGGUCCUUAGYAGUCCGCCCCUUCGGGGAGCGGGCUGCUGGCCUCCUAUGUUCCUAACGGUCCUCAUCCGCGAGGGUGGGGAAUCAACCGCUAGGAUCGUUUACUUUGAGGAAAUUAGAGUGUUCAAAGCAGGCGUAACUCGCCUCCGAAUACGUUAGCAUGGGAUAAUGGAAUACGACUUCGGUCUUGUUUCGUUGGUUUCGCUUGGCUGAAGUAAUGAUUGAUAGGGACAGUUGGGGGCAUUAGUAUUUAGUUGUCAGAGGUGAAAUUCUAGGAUUUACUAAAGACUGACCAAUGCGAAAGCAUUUGCCAAGGAUGUUUUCAUUAAUCAAGAACGAAAGUAGGGGGAUCGAAGACGAUCAGAUACCGUCGUAGUCUCUACCGUAAACUAUGCCGACCAGGGAUCCGGAGAGUUUGCAUGGAUGACUCCCCGGGCACCUUGUGAGAAAUCAUAAGUGUUUGGGUUUUGGGGGGAGUAUGGUCGCAAGGCUGAAACUUAAAGGAAUUGACGGAAGGGCACCACCAGGAGUGGAACCUGCGGCUUAAUUUGACUCAACACGGGGAAACUUACGAGGUCAGGACACUGUGAGGAUUGACAGAUUGAAAGCUCUUUCUUGAUUCAGUGGGUGGUGGUGCAUGGCCGUUCUUAGUUGGUGGAGUGAUUUGUCUGGUUAAUUCCGUUAACGAACGAGACCUUA